GCCAGGCACAGUGGUGCACACGUGUAAUCCCAGCUACUCCAGAGGCUGCAGCAGGAGGAUCCAGGAGUUCUGGGCGAUGGUGCACUAUGCUGAUUGGAUGUCCACACUCAGUUUGACAUCAGUAUGGUGGCCUCCCGGGAGCUGGGGACCACUGGGUUACCUAGGACAGGUGAACUGGCUCAGGUAAAAAAUGGAGCAGGUCAAAACUCCUGUGCUGAUCAGUAGUGGGAUUGUGCCUAUGAAUAGCUACUGCACUCCAGCCUGGGCAACAGAGUGAGAUU
ensembl:misc_RNA Metazoa_SRP Metazoan signal recognition particle RNA